rnacentral:rRNA from 1 species
GACGAACGCUGGCGGCGUGCCUAAUACAUGCAAGUAGAACGCUGAAGGAGGAGCUUGCUUCUCCGGAUGAGUUGCGAACGGGUGAGUAACGCGUAGGUAACCUGCCUGGUAGCGGGGGAUAACUAUUGGAAACGAUAGCUAAUACCGCAUAACAGUAGAUGUUGCAUGACAUUUGCUUAAAAGGUGCAAUUGCAUCACUACCAGAUGGACCUGCGUUGUAUUAGCUAGUUGGUGAGGUAACGGCUCACCAAGGCGACGAUACAUAGCCGACCUGAGAGGGUGAUCGGCCACACUGGGACUGAGACACGGCCCAGACUCCUACGGGAGGCAGCAGUAGGGAAUCUUCGGCAAUGGACGGAAGUCUGACCGAGCAACGCCGCGUGAGUGAAGAAGGUUUUCGGAUCGUAAAGCUCUGUUGUAAGAGAAGAACGAGUGUGAGAGUGGAAAGUUCACACUGUGACGGUAUCUGGCCAGAAAGGGACGGCUAACUACGUG